CGCAGAGACAUUUCUACAGCUCUGUAAUUAAUUUUAAUUGUGGCUACGAGUUGACUUCUAUCAGAGUUUCAAGUGAGAUGCUGCCUCUAUGUCCCACAAGGAGGAACGCAACUGUGGGUGCAUAGAGAGGCAAAAAGUGAAGGUUCGGUGAGCUGCGCUCAUCUAAUGCUUUGUUUGAAAUGUUCUGAGCACAGAGCUCCUCCAGAGCAUGUCCUGCUGCACCCGGGGGCUGGAUCUGGGACCUCUGCCCUUCAAUACAGAGCCCAGUGUUUUAUAUCCCCAUCUACACGAAAAGAAGUGGAAAAGGGAAUUAACGCUCUGGUCCCUCAAAUGUUUUCUCCUUUACCAUGAUGUCUGGGAGAGAGAGACGUGAGGGCCUCGCAGAUGUUCACAGUUACUCACCGGUCACUUUGCUGGGGUUGGUUUGUGUUCCCACUCCUUUCAGCGCUGUGGAGCCUUAAAACAUGCCAAGGAGUUUCUCAAGCGCAUUAACAUGAGAGCAAGUCGUAGUGGACAGAGGAGAGACUUUAGAAGGUCUGUUGUGCUGGUCUCUAAAAAACCCGGAGAAAGAAAAGAGCAGCCUGAGACCCACCUCUCCUGGUUCCCAUUGCUAUGGAGAUGUGUGUGAUGAACUUGAAGUACAAACAAGGAUAUUCACCCAUUUUAAGUGCAGUUUAGCCCAGCUGACUUCUCCAGCUUCCUUCUGUAGUCACUGGGGAAGGAAACGCUCCUCUGUGGAAUUUAAUUUUGGUGCUUGGAGUUGCAGCCUGGAUGGGUCAAUCUUUUUCCACGGACUUCAGAAGCAGCCUGGAAAUACGAGGCCAAACAAGGUGCCUAUUGCUGAGUAAAUGGAGGGGGAGAUGAACAUCCUUCUCCAGAACUGAAUGCAGUUAUCCAGGCUUAUGGUCAGUCUCCACGCUGUGCUUCACCUCUGAGAUAAGACAGCGUAAGGCUUUGGCUCAAGUGUGCCUCUUCAGGAGGUGGAGAGCUGGGCGUUUCUGUUUUUUUCAGACAAUUUUAUGCUCUGCCUUCAUUACUCAUGAGACUCUGACAACAUACUGUUUCUGCAGUGAUUGACAGACUGGUUUGGAUGGCAGCUCUUCACGCCCUGUGCUCACCGCAGAUGUGGUUCUUCACAUCAAGGAGCUUGCACUGAGUCACUGCAUUGCACUGAGCAGAGCUGAUCAGACGUGAAUGGGGCAGAGGGGACUGACCCCUGCCCUGCUCCCCUGAAUCAGACCACAGCACAUCCACAUGCCUUCAGGAGUUGGUGUCAGCCUGGAAGAUGCCCCACAACCUGUCCUUGGCUUUCUAAAGCACCAGCACGAUGCUGGAAAAGUGGUGAAGGGGAAGGGCCAAGAACUAGUGAUAAUGAAGUACAUCCCAGUAAAUCUAUGCUGACUUUAUGGGGCUGCACGGCAUGCCCUGGAUGAUGAGGUUCCUGCCUUGCUGGCUCGGCAUUUCCAUGGGGCUUCUGGACUCCAAGGGGCCACUGGUGCAUGCUGCCCUCUGAGAGGCAGGUUGGAUUCAAGAACAUGUUCUUAUCCCUCAAACUUUUGCUAAGUUUCAGAAGAAGAACUCCUUACAAGUUCAGAUAUGUAAGCAUUGGGUGUCUUUAUCUGUUCUGUCUUUCACAAAGAAUGAGAACUACGAAUGUAGUUAUGCUAUACUUGAAGGGAGAGUAUAAACAGGAGGGGGAACAGCUGUUUACGAGGGUGGACAGUGACAGGACAAGAGGGAAUGGUUUUAAACUGAAACAGGGGAGGUUUAGCUUGGAUAUGAGGAGGAAGUUCUUCACCCAGAGGGUGGUGACGCACUGGAACAGGUUGCCCAAGGAGGUUGUGGAUGCCCCAUCCCUGGAGGCAUUCAGGGCCAGGCUGGAUGUAGCUCUGGGCAGCCUGGUCUGGUGGUUGGCGACCCUGCACAUAGCAGGGGGGUUGAAACUGGAUGAUCAUUGUGGUCCUUUUCAACCCAGUCCAUGCUAUGAUGAUUCUAUGAUGAUGAUACGGGGCUGAGCCUCAAAAGGCCUGUUCCCAUGCUGUUUGCAGCCUAAUUUGGUAGCACCAAGGAAGGUGUUUAUAAAUGUCUUCUUUUCUACAGAAGCCCUUUCAAACCUAAUUGAAGGCAUUUGACCUUUUGGGAUUCACGUUGAUUCUGUCAAAGAGAAACAUAAGGAGGACUCCAUUCCCACCAAAUGUUUAAAUGUUGCAAAGCCAUGGGUAUGGUCAUUUGUCAUUGGAUAUUCCCUGGUUCUUUGCAGUGCUAAACCAAACUGACACCUGUAAUUUUUACCAACUUUCAACCUGGGCAGCAAUUGCCUAAAUGCCUCCAUCCUCCAGUAAAUUAAGUGGUCCACCAUACUUUUGAACUACUGUGUUGUUCCCCAUUCAACGUUGGGUGUAUUCAGUUCUGCUGGUAUUGAGAUUUCUGGUCAUAAGCGAAGUAGAGUUUGACUCUUAAUUUUGGUGAAGUGGGAUGCUAGGUCAUGAAUAAAUCCGCACUAUGCUAGGGGCUGUGCAAAGAAUAGAGAUGAACCCAGCCUCAAAUAUCCACGCUUAGUAGCCCGUGUCAUAAUUAAAAGUUGUUAGGACACUUCAGAAUCUCCCUACCUUGUAAGUGAUGCAUCCAUAUACAUUUAUAUCUCCAUAAUAAAAUAGAAAACCUGUACACUUUUAUUGUUGAUAAUAAAACAUAAAAUACGAUACUAUUCUCCAAGUAACAUGAAUGCAGCAAUCGGAGUACCUGGGGAGGGGAGGAAUCUUGAUCUCUUGCACACUUUUGGUUUACAUGUACCUCAAGUUGCUCGCUUUAUAGAAAGAAGCAGAAUUUGUUGUGGAAACUGUCUCACACGGAGCACACUGAAUUCAGGUGGAGAGCACAGAGCGGGAGCUCCUGCCCUUCUAAUAAUCAAAUACUGUGCAUUCAUGAAUAAAGCUCUAACAGUAACGAUAAGAGAAGAAAAUACAGCAACCACGUGAUGUAUUAGCAGAAUGUCUUACAAAGUCCCCCACAAAGCAUCCGCUGCUCUUGAAAAGCCCAACCAGCCCAAGUGAGAAACUAUUCACAAGUUUAGUAUUCAGAUUACAUACUCCGUCUUUUCAACUGCUCUCUGUACAAUGAAUGCCUGUACAACUACAGUAACAGACACAGAUCUACAGUUUCUGUGGCCUUUGAGCUAUUAUGAGCAUUGUGCCUCUCCAUAAAUUACAUCUGCAUGUCCUGAAAAUACCAACUGUUUUAAUAGGAAUUAAUCUAUAGGCUUUUAUCUUCCUGAAAUACAAGGGGUGCAGUAUGUUGAGUCGCUUUUAAAAUUAAUAGGGUAUGGCCUGAAAAUAUUCAAGGAUGUUCAUUAUUUUCUUUAUAGGUCUCUUUAUUGGUGCAUAUAAGCAUAAAACAGUGCCUUUUUGUAGUAGAGAGGAGGAGAUGGAAUACUGAAUAGAUUAGUGCUUAUAUGGUUGUAGAUUGCCCGACACAGUUAAGUAAAGAAAGGUCUACAUUUGUCCUGUUCAAAGUAUAUUGGGAUUCGAUCCAAUUUGUCAUCAAAGUACCCCUUCUUGGUUAGAAAAGAGAGGGUUCAGUCUAAAGGCAUGAAAGCUGACCCGGAGGUCCAUUGCUCAGUGGUGUUCAUAGCUGUCCAAGGUAGCAGUGUAGUAGAUAUGCCUUUUUUUAACUUCCUAAACCUAAAAAAACCUGGAGCUUUUGCAGCAAUAAGCUAUUAUUUAUGUGGAUACCUAACACAGGUCUUGGGGGAGCUAACUCCUAGAACACUUUGACCUUAUAAAAGCACACAAAAUAGUAUCAACCAGAUCAUUCAGACCAGAAUUGAUAUAAAAAGCCUUUUUGGCUGUUUUGAAUAUUAACGUGUGAAGGCAUACACACACAAGUUAAAUGCAUAUAUAUAGUUAAAUACUACACUGAAACAGGCUGAGCCCAUCACUGACCUAUCGAAACAUGUUACUGAUGAGCAAUAAGGCAUUAAUUUCUCCUCCCGGCCUCCCUGUUAAAUGGGGCAGCUCUGUUGCAUCCAACAGAACAAAGGAGAACUGAGGCCUGUGGUUACCCUGGGGACACGACAAGUCUCAGGACUGGGUGGCUGUCCCCUGGGCAGCUGGGCUGUUGUGGCAGAGCGCUGUCUAGAGCAGGCAUGGCUGUGUGAGGGCUGCUUAGGUCUCAUGGAUGGAAACAGAGGGGAAAGGAGCUCCAGAAAUGGCUCUCUAUAAGAUUUGCCCCAAGCAGCUUCUGUAGUGUGGCAGAAGUCUGCGGCAAAGCUGAGAAGUGCUUUCAGGCUAUUGCUCAGAUGAAAAAAUAAAACCCUUGUUGCAUUAUUUGCUGCAAUUUAAAAACAGAACUGAAACGUAGAGGAAUGAUGACUUGGUUGAAAUCACACAGAGGACCUCUGUCCACGGCUGGAUGUGAACACUGGUGUCCUGAUCCCUAAACCACCACUUGAGCCUCAAGGUCGCCACAGCUGCUCCAGAGAGUGUAACCUGGGGGCAGUUGCAUGGUUGAUGGAAAUCACUGGAGCUCUCUCUGCAGCCCCUGAGCUGUGGCAGAGCUGAAUUUUGCAAUGAAACCAGUGAUUCACCCUAUGCCCAUGCUGCUGUGGUGAAGAUGCUCUCAUCUCUGCAGUCUUCGCACUUAACAGAUUAAUUUUUAAGGGUGAACCCUUUCAGGUUAGUGCCUGUCCCCUGCUUUUCCCUUGGUCACUCUUGCCUGUUUUCACAGCUUCAUUUGGUUUUGAAAACUGAUGGAGCAGCGGGAUUAAAACCAGAAAUAAUUACUGUAGAGGACGGGUCUGGCGUUUCCCAUCAGCUUCCAUGACUCAAGCUGGUUCCAACAGCUUUGGGAGAAAAGCUGUUAGUUAUUAAAUUAUUACCUGUAAGGAGAGCCAGCUGGAAGCUUUCAGCUUUCAACAUUUUGAUGAAAAGCAUCAUAAAAAAUCUUGACGACAAAACUUCCAGCAUUUCAACGACACCUUUUACAUUUACCCAUGCUUUCCAAUGCCUUGUAAGAGCUAUCGAGAGCCGCCCAGACCUGCCAUCUUGGGAAUUUUGACCCCACGGUGGAAAAAAAAAAGGAAAAAAAAAAGUGCAAAAAACAUAAAGUGUUUGCUGUUCAGCGAAUUCAUUUGGACAGCUUUUGGGAAGUCACUUUCCAUCUGGAGAAGAGCGUCCACAAGGAGGGUUAUUCCGGCAUAACGGUAACGGUGUAAUUACACAGCUAUAGCUAUGCCAGCCUAUUUUCUGAGGUAGGCAAGCCAAGUCUAGUUGCUGAAACGUAGGCGUGGGAAACAAGAAGUCUGCUUUCUAGGCUCGGCUCUGAGCACUGCUCUUCAUGGCCUUGGGCCAGUCCCCUAACCCUCCUGCCUCCUUCCUAUGCAAAAUGAGAAGAGUUAAACUAACCCGCUUCUCAGAUGUGGUGUAAUGACUAAUUGGCUAAAAUUUGUAGUGCUGGUGAGGGAGUUAUUGGCUUGGCUCAGGCACCUACAGCCUGACACAAAGAGCGCGCGUACGCACGGUGCAGGAACUCCACUCAGCACAUCCCAGAGCUCUCUGGCAACCAGUGUGGGUAAAGGACGACUCCAUCAGCCCUCCUCCUGGGUGACACGUUUGUGUGCCUACCUCUGUCAGCUCAGAUUGCUUCAUUACCUGCGCCGGCGUUUCCUCACGCAGGUGCCCAGCGCUGACAGCAUCACUGGUCUUUGUGGCAAGAAACGCUUCCUGACACCCAACCCGUUCCUCCCCCGGCACAGCUGAGGCCAUCUGUGGUGCCGUGGCAGUGCCUGGGGGCGGCGGGCCGUCAGCCGGCGCUCGUCGUCCAAAGGGAAACACCGCCGUUCUGCCCCUCUCUCCACCACAGCGUGCGCGGGAGGUGGGGAAAGCGCUGCGGAGGGGCUUUCGUUUUAAACCGGGUUUUCCCUCCGAGCGCAAAGCCUGAAGGAAAAAAAAAAAACAAAAACAACAACAACAACAAAAAAAGAACCAACCAAAAAGCAGAAAUUACCUCACGUUCGCUCCGAACGCCCAACGAGGCACCGGCGCGGCGCUGGGAGCCCUUCAUCCCCGCGACACCGAACCGGGCACGGGCCGGUUAAAAACAGAAGCGCUGAAUCACGACCGACCGCCCGACUUCGCCCUCCGCCGCGGGCCGAGCGCUGCGGGGCAGCCCGGUG
ensembl:lncRNA